AGUUUCUCAGCCCCCCACCCACCCCCCUACAUCACGCGUCAUUGGUCCGCGUCACAGGUCUGCCUUCAUCAUCUUGCUGCGUUCGUCUUUACUUGACAGUCGCGCUGUCCUCUUUAACCUUUCGCUCCUCGGCUGUGCAACACAACUGCUCCGCAGACCAGAAAAUGAGCGUGAACACCAGUGCGUCGGAGAGCUCUCUCACUGAGGAGCAGAUUGUGCAGCAGUACAAUCGCAUGCGUCAGGAGCAGAGCGCCAUCAUGUCCCGCAUCGCCGAGCUGGAGAAUGAGUCCCACGAGCACGACCUCGUCGCGACCGAGCUGCGCCCGCUCAACAAGGACCGCUGCUGUCAUCGCCUUGUCGGUGGCGCGCUAGUGGAGCUCACGGUGGGCGAGGUGCUGCCGGACAUUGAGGAGAACUUAGCCGCCAUCCGCGAAGCGCUCGGGCAGCUAAACAAGGGCCUCAUGGAGAAAGAGAAGCAGAUGGACGAUUUCAUGACCAAGCACAAGCUGAACCGCCCUGGCACGAACCAGGCCGUGACGGCCAAUCAAAACAACGAGGGCAACCGCGGCGUUCUGGCGUGACGCGGCGCUCGAUGCGGUGCAGCAGUUGUGGGCCGCGGAGUCUGCGCGUGACUAUCUGUGUGCGUGGCGUAUAUGUUAUGUGUGUCUAAGUCAGUAACAGCGUCUCCCUCCGCGGCCCCCCUCCUCCUCCCCCCUCCCUGUCUGCGAGUCUUACCACACGCGGAUAUGUGUCUAUGAGGGGUGUUCGUGUUCGUGUCUGUUUGGCGUAGAUCUACCUUCUUACCAGAGAGAGACAUACGAAAAAAAAAAGGAAGCGAGAGCGACACUGAAAGCCUCCGCACCCCUCCCUCCGCCCGCUCUCUUCCGCCUCGCCGUCCGGGCGGCACGUAGGUGGGGACCGAACACCAAGAUGAUGUACAGUCGAAUUCGUGCUUCACGUAUGCCAUGCCCUUUCUUGACAACCCCUCGCAGUCCUCAAUGGUAUCCCUUGCCAAGCCUCUCCACCCGAAACUCCCGCUCUCCCCUCUGCGCUCGUGGACACUCACCGUAAAG
rnacentral:misc_RNA from 1 species